rnacentral:rRNA from 1 species
AUUGAACGCUAGCGGGAUGCUUUACGCAUGCAAGUCGAACGGCAGCGCGGACUUCGGUCUGGCGGCGAGUGGCGAACGGGUGAGUAAUGUAUCGGAACGUGCCCAGUAGCGGGGGAUCACUACGCGAAAGCGUAGCUAAUACCGCAUACGCCCUACGGGGGAAAGCAGGGGAUCGUAAGACCUUGCACUAUUGGAGCGGCCGAUAUCGGAUUAGCUAGUUGGUGAGGUAACGGCUCACCAAGGCGACGAUCCGUAGCUGGUUUGAGAGGACGACCAGCCACACUGGGACUGAGACACGGCCCAGACUCCUACGGGAGGCAGCAGUGGGGAAUUUUGGACAAUGGGGGCAACCCUGAUCCAGCCAUCCCGCGUGUGCGAUGAAGGCCUUCGGGUUGUAAAGCACUUUUGGCAGGAAAGAAACGGCGCGGGCUAAUACCCCGUGGAACUGACGGUACCUGCAGAAUAAGCACCGGCUAACUACGUG